rnacentral:rRNA from 1 species
UACGGAGGGUGCAAGCGUUGUUCGGAAUCAUUGGGCGUAAAGGGCGCGUAGGCGGGACGUUAAGUCCGAUGUGAAAUCCCUCGGCUCAACUGAGGACGUGCAUCGGAUACUGGCGACCUUGAGUCCUGGAGAGGGUAGCGGAAUUCCCAGUGUAGAGGUGAAAUUCGUAGAUAUUGGGGAGGAACACCGGUGGCGAAGGCGGCUACCUGGACAGUGAC